GAGAGAACAGCCACCUCAGAAAUACAGUGUGGUCACCAUUGGUUCCUGUUUGCAGUGAAGCAUCUCAGUCAAGUUUUUACCGCUGUGGGAAUGAGCAGAAGCAGUGAGAUGACAUCUUCCAGCUCCAACAUCUUCAUCAUCUUCACAAUUUUUCUGAGCUUCAUUUUCCACUCAAGCCAAGAUUUUGAAGUGAUUCAGCCUCCGAAUCGGAUGGUAAACACAGACGGAGUAGCCUUGAUCAGCUGUGAACACACUGCA